CACUUCCCUGAACAUUUGAAAAUGAGUAGCCAUUUCAUAGUGUUGAGGAAAGGAAAUGCUAGUAUUCCAUUUACCCCAUUUAUAUAUUAAAUAUUUAAUUCCAAAAAUAUUACAGUAACUGUAUUUAAUAUGUACACUUGUCGUUAGAGCUAAAAAGCACUUCGUAUACAUUAUCUUACUUGAUUUAAUCAAAAGACAGUAGAAGUGCUGAAUAGAUUGGUAGAUGCAAGGUCUGUGUAACUAAAUUGCAAGCUAUCAUGUUUAAUUUUCAUAUUAGCAUUAUAUGCCUAAUAUACAUUUUUUAUCUCCAAAUAAUUCUGUCCAUUUAUAUCGUAUGUAUAUCUUAAGGAAUUUCAUUAUUUUAGAAAUGGCAUUAAAUAGUGUUUUGGAACAAAUGGAACAUCUAUGAGUAGGUUUCUCUAUAUAAAAGAAAAACUAUAGGGUAAUCAUAUGAUACCUUCAUCCCUAGAAAAACUUUGUUUUGUAAUGGGAUUUUAUGAAGCUCAAUUCAUUUUUUUCCUCUAUUUUUACAAAAAUCUAGUUUUAGUUUAAAUGCUUUCAUGUGUAGAAAGUGUUGAAAAAAUUUGUAUUUUUCUACAAAUAGGAAUUUUUUAAAAAUGUAGUUAUCAGCAUGACUCUGUGCUUUAGAAUAUGUAUCUGAAUUGGCGUGAUGCUACAUCUGCUUUGCUUUUUGCUGUGUGCCAUUAACCUAAAUUUGGUAAUGUCCAGUGUCUGAAUGUUGGUGUAUUUUUAGUGUUUGCUUUUAAUUAUUUUAUGCCCGUGAGUCCUUUGACAGUUUUCAUCUCAGGUGAAGAAAGAUCAUAAGUUUUCUUUCCAUAUUCUUUAGGUUGUUUUUCAGUGUUUGAAUUAUACCAAGAUAGAAGUCACAUGAAAAUGUUUUAUUUGUAUGUUUCACUUAAGUGAGCAUGAUUAAAAUGUGUUUAAUGUGUUUGAUAUGUUACUUAAUGGUUGUUAUAUUAAUCUCACGGCAACACCGGAUCCUUAACCCACUGAGCAAGGCCAGGGAUCGAACCCGCAACCUCCUGGUUCCUAGUCGGAUUCGUUAACCACUGCGCCAUGACGGGAACUCCUCUUUUCCAUUUUUUAAAUUAGAGUUUAGUUGCUUUACAAUGUUGUAAUGAAAUCUACUAUUUCAUAUUUAAUGCUAGUGAAUGGGAAUGAAAGGCUAUAUUGACACAGCAGAACAAAAACAAAAAUCCUUUAAACUGAGUAAAACAAGGCAGUAUAGACUUCAGCAUUUCUCUGUAGGAGAGACUGUCUAAGUCAUGUCAAUAAUAGGGUAUCAGUAUGAAAGAUGGCUGAGAACACAAUUUGUAUGCCAUUUUAGAGUUGUUCUCCUAGAAAAACACACACAUAGUUCAAGUCUGAAAUCACUAAAAGUUAGUUUUAAGAAAACACACUGCUGUUUUAUGAUCUGGAACCAUACCUGUCUCUCUGGCCCUGCAUUUUGUGAACCUUUAAAUAAAAUUGUAAUAAUAAUUUUCUGUAUUAUCACAUUAAUAUGCUAAAAAGCUUGAUGAGUGAAGUUUCUGCAGAAUAUGCAAGGAAAGGAUUCCUUUCUAAUUGGAAUAGUUUCAGAAAAAUUGGUGUAUUAGGAUCCUAGCAAAACUUAGUAAAUAUCAAAGUAUAGCAGAGAAUCUAAAUUCCAGGUGAAAUUCAAACUGUGGCUUCUAUGCAGUAAUUAAUGCUAUUAUGCUAGUCUUUUAAAAAAUGUAAGCAUAACCAGUCAAUUGGAUUUAAGAGUUUUGUUGUAUUUUUGUAAAUUUUACUAAUGUUCUGUCUGAAAAUUUUAAUCUUUAAUAUAAAUAUUUAUAUAUAAUACUUGUAAGCAUGUUGGAAUAAUUUUACUUUUUCUGAACUUGUAGAUUUUAUUUGUUUUAGUGACAAAUCUUCACAUCAUUUCCUUAACUUACAUUAUUUGUAAGUUUGUACAGAUCUCUGAGUCUUUAGAAGUCAUUGUGGUUUUCACUUUUCUGAUUUGAAUUUUAUUUAUUUAAUGUGAGGUUUGCCUUUUGGAAAAGUAAAAGUAUGUAUUGGUUUUCUGCCCUUUUUCUUGUGCUACAAGAGUUACAUCCCUUCAGAGUGGUAACAUGCUCUGUCACUUGCUCAUCAAGCACUGAAUAAUUCUCUUGUCAUGACUAUAAGACAUUUUUGUUAUUAUGAGAAAACAUAUGUAUAAUACUUCCUUGGAAGUGUUUUCUGUUUGACUUUUAUAAGUUUCUUCUGUGGGAAAUAUGGAGUUAGUUUGUUUCCAUUUACUCAUUGGGAAACUGAGAUACACAAAGUUUAUCUUCAUUUUUACUCACUGAAGUCCUUCACUAACAAGCAGAAGAAUGUGAGCAUUUUACAUCUAGUUCUGUGGUUGGUUUAUUGAAUAUCAUUUCCUAGUACCACAUUAACUGCAUUAGUUUCAUUUAUUAACCUAUAUUUGUGAUAUUUCUCAAGGAAUGGAAAAACAGUCAUUUCUUUCCUAAAAUCAUGAAAGAAUGGACUUAUUACAUUAUUAUUUAAGUAUAUUUUUAGGUUUGUAAGGAAAAUAUUAAUAUCCAAUCCUUCAAACCUUCUGCCUUCUUGCACCCAGGACAAUAUUGUACUUAUAUUGUGUGACAAGUAUUUAAAUGUUUGUUAAAUGUAUGCAUUAUUAAAUGAAGGAGUAAAUGAAACAUUGGACAUCAUUAGAGAGUGUGGGACCGUGUUAAGCACAAUAAAAUGUACAGAGUAGAACAUAAAUUCGGGGUCCAACUGGUAGGUUUUAGUGCCUAGACUUUAUCAGGUUCAUUUGUCAUUUGAGUUGAAUUUUCCUAUCAUCUUCUAGGCCAUACUUAAUUUUAAUGGGGUUGCCAUGUUUAACACUUAAACAAAAACUUAAAAUAAGAACACUGGAAAAUAUAAAGUCUAAUGUGCCUAAUAUACUAGGCUUGAAAAGGUGCCCAAUAAACAGGGAUAAAAAAAUAAAUAUGACCUCUUCUCUUAUCAGGCUUAUUUUUAAGAGUCCUGAAAUUCGUCAAGGCAUAUAUAAGUUCAUAGUUAAAGUCAAGCUGAACAGGCAAGUAUCUUUGCCUUCUCUGUUUUACACUGAGCUCCUUUGUGACAUAUUCUAUGAUAGGAUAGGUUCAAUACCCAGUAUAUGAUAGUGAUAAUAAACCCUGCAGCUUGGGUAGAAGUAAAUUCCAGACAAUCUACUACAUUAUUCUUUACUCUCGUAUAGUACUACAUAUUUUUGGCUAGUUUUACUCAAUAUGCUUGUUGGCAACAGAGUGAGUCUUUUGAAAGAGCAGCUGAUGGUAAUAUUUGAAGAGAUCACUAGUGGACACAAAAAAAGCAGAAGAAAGGAAUCUGGAAGCGAAUCUGUUUUUGGCCAAUUAGUGACAGAAGUUUCUGAAUUACUCCUUUUUCUUAUUUUUCAUUGUUAUCUGAUUUGAUUAGGAAAAGAAAAGAAAUUUUAAUUUUUACCCUUGUCCUGCAGGGCCAGACUUCACUGUUUUAAAAUAUAACUGACAAGUGAAUUUCAUUAAGACUGAUAAUAUGGCAGCAUAGUGAAAGUUUGCAACUAUUACCAGCAUGUAGAAAUUUUAGCCUAGCUAUUCUUUUUGACCAGUGUUCUAUUACUUGUCAGAGUGAUCUUAUAUUUAUGAUGGUGAAUAUAAUGGGUUGAAGAGGUUUUAUUUUAAAUUUUCAUUCAUAUUUUGUGUGUGUGUGCUUUAGUUUUUUAGGAUUUGCUUUCAUUGUGGGGCUAGCUUCAAGGUAGGAAAAGGCAAUUAGAUAAUGCUUUUAUAUAUGUGGCAAAGAAACACUAGGAAUUAUUAGUGAGACAUGUCAACUGAUUCUUAAAUGUAUAUUUUCAGUGGUAAAUAUUCUUAUUUGUUAGUUGUUUCCAUACAAAAAACAAGAAUUCCUAUCAUUAAAAUAGUAGUAAAGUUAUUUCUGAUAAAGGGAUGUAUGAUAGGACUACAAGUCCUCAGUUCCAGGAAUUUUAGCGAAUUUCUCUCUGCAUUUCAUAUUCCAAAUUCUUUGUCUUUAUACUCACUCCCUUCCUCCACACAGACGCUUGAAUGAUUGCCAUCUUCCUGAGCCUCCUCUUGAUAUGAGCAGAAUAUGAAGGCAAAGACUAUCUCUGAUUGUACAGGCACUCUAUCUAUAGUACUUAAGCAGAAUAUCUGGUAUAAAAAUUAUACACAUUUGUGGAGUGAAUGAACACUCAUACUUUUGUCACCUUAAAAAUCAAGAACAAAAGUUUAGUUCUUAGGAGUUCUUCUUUGGGGCAGUGGGUUAAGGAUUCCAUGUUGUCACUGCAGUGGCUCGGGUUGCCACUGUGGCAUGGGUUUAAUCCCUGGCCUGGGAACUU
rnacentral:lncRNA from 1 species